CAGUCGAGCGGAGACAGUGAGUAGCUUGCUAUGAGCUGUUUUAGCGGCGGACGGGUGAGUAACGCGUGAGCAACCUUUCCCAGACAGGGGAAUAACACACCGAAAGGUGUACUAAUACCGCAUAAGACCACGGGAUCACAUGGUUCUGAGGUAAAAGAUUUAUCGGUUUGGGGUGGGCUCGCGUCCGAUUAGGUAGUUGGUGAGGUAACGGCCCACCAAGCCGACGAUCGGUAGCCGACCUGAGAGGGUGAUCGGCCACAUUGGGACUGAGACACGGCCCAAACUCCUACGGGAGGCAGCAGUGGGGAAUAUUGGGCAAUGGAGGAAACUCUGACCCAGCAACGCCGCGUGGAGGAAGAAGGUUUUCGGAUCGUAAACUCCUGUCCUUGGAGACGAGUAGAAGACGGUAUCCAAGGAGGAAGCCCCGGCUAACUACGUGCCAGCAGCCGCGGUAAUACGUAGGGGGCAAGCGUUGUCCGGAAUAAUUGGGCGUAAAGGGCGCGUAGGCGGCUCGGUAAGUCUGGAGUGAAAGUCCUGCUUUUAAGGUGGGAAUUGCUUUGGAUACUGUCGGGCUUGAGUGCAGGAGAGGUUAGUGGAAUUCCCAGUGUAGCGGUGAAAUGCGUAGAGAUUGGGAGGAACACCAGUGGCGAAGGCGACUAACUGGACUGUAACUGACGCUGAGGCGCGAAAGUGUGGGGAGCAAACAGGAUUAGAUACCCUGGUAGUCCACACUGUAAACGAUGAAUGCUAGGUGUAGGGGGUAUCGACCCCUUCUGUGCCGCAGUCAACACAAUAAGCAUUCCGCCUGGGGAGUACGGCCGCAAGGUUGAAAC
rnacentral:rRNA from 1 species